AGAGACAGCAGUCGCCGCGGUAAUACGGAGGGUGCAAGCGUUAAUCGGAAUUACUGGGCGUAAAGCGCACGCAGGCGGUCUGACAAGUCAGAUGUGAAAUCCCCGGGCUUAACCUGGGAACUGCAUUUGAAACUGUCAGGCUGGAGUCUUGUAGAGGGGGGUGGAAUUCCAGGUGUAGCGGUGAAAUGCGUAGAGAUCUGGAGGAAUACCGGUGGCGAAGGCGGCCCCCUGGACAAAGACUGACGCUCAGGUGCGAAAGCGUGGGGAGCAAACAGGAUUAGAUACCCCUGUAGUCCCUGUCUCUUAUAC
rnacentral:rRNA from 1 species